GUGUCAGCAGCCGCGGUAAUACGUAGGGUCCGAGCGUUGUCCGGAAUUAUUGGGCGUAAAGGGCUCGUAGGCGGUCUGUCGCGUCGGGAGUGAAAACUCAGGGCUCAACCCUGAGCGUGCUUCCGAUACGGGCAGACUAGAGGUAUGCAGGGGAGAACGGAAUUCCUGGUGUAGCGGUGGAAUGCGCAGAUAUCAGGAGGAACACCGGUGGCGAAGGCGGUUCUCUGGGCAUUACCUGACGCUGAGGAGCGAAAGCAUGGGGAGCGAACAGGAUUAGAUACCCUGGUAGUCCAUGCCGUAAACGUUGGGCGCUAGGUGUGGGGACCUUCCACGGUUUCCGUGCCGCAGCUAACGCAUUAAGCGCCCCGCCUGGGGAGUACGGCCGCAAGGCUAAA
rnacentral:rRNA from 1 species